UACGGGGGGGGCAAGCGUUGUUCGGAAUUACUGGGCGUAAAGGGUGCGUAGGCGGUUCGCUAAGUUGGAUGUGAAAACUAUGGGCUCAACCCAUAGCCUGCAUCCAAUACUGACGAACUAGAGUUCUGGAGGGGGUAGCGGAAUUCCUGGUGUAGCGGUGAAAUGCGUAGAUAUCAGGAGGAACACUGGUGGCGAAGGCGGCUAUCUGGACAGAGUCUGACGCUGAGGCGCGAAAGCUAGGGGAGCAAACAGG
rnacentral:rRNA from 1 species